UUUUUUUUUUUUUUUCCUGGUGUAAUAGCUCACAUUGAUGCCACAAUCUGCGGCCACAAGCUUGAUUCACAUGAUGCAGAUACAUACCAUAGAUUGAUGAAUUGAGGCACUGCCACAAUACACUUCAGCAGUCAACUGCCAAAGUUAAACCUUCCAGUUAUUCUAGGCGGCAAUUCAACAUGACUGGAUUUGCCUUUAUUCACAGAACCUAGGCCCUGGA
rnacentral:misc_RNA from 1 species